UGCCUACGGGGCGCAGCAGUGGGGAAUAUUGCACAAUGGGGGAAACCCUGAUGCAGCGACGCCGCGUGAGUGAAGAAGUAUUUCGGUAUGUAAAGCUCUAUCAGCAGGGAAGAAAAAAGACGGUACCUGACUAAGAAGCCCCGGCUAACUACGUGCCAGCAGCCGCGGAAAUACAUAGGGAGCAAGCGUGAUCCGGAUUUAUUGGGUGUAAAGGGUGCGUAGACGGGAAAUAAAGUUAGUUGUGAAAUCCCUCGGCUUAAC
rnacentral:rRNA from 1 species